rnacentral:rRNA from 1 species
UACGUAGGGGGCAAGCGUUGUCCGGAAUCAUUGGGCGUAAAGCGCGUGUAGGCGGUUUGUCAAGUCUGCUGUGAAAGUCCAGGGCUCAACCCUGGGAUGCCGGUGGAUACUGUCGGACUAGAGUACGGAAGAGGCGAGUGGAAUUCCCGGUGUAGCGGUGAAAUGCGCGGAUAUCGGGAGGAACACCAAUUGCGAAGGCAGCUCGCUGGGACGUUACUGACGCUGAGACGCGAAAGCGUGGGGAGCAAACAGG